rnacentral:rRNA from 1 species
CAGCCGCGGUAAUACAGAGGGUGCGAGCGUUAAUCGGAUUUACUGGGCGUAAAGCGUGCGUAGGCGGCUAAUUGAGUCGGAUGUGAAAUCCCCGAGCUUAACUUGGGAAUUGCAUUCGAUACUGGUUAGCUAGAGUGUGGGAGAGGAUGGUAGAAUUCCAGGUGUAGCGGUGAAAUGCGUAGAGAUCUGGAGGAAUACCGAUGGCGAAGGCAGCCAUCUGGCCUAACACUGACGCUGAGGUACGAAAGCAUGGGGAGCAAACAGGAUUAGAUACCCGCGUAGUCCCUGUCUCUUAUACACA